CAGUAGCCGCGGUAAUACGUAGGUGGCAAGCGUUGUCCGGAAUUAUUGGGCGUAAAGGGCUCGCAGGCGGUUUCUUAAGUCUGAUGUGAAAGCCCCCGGCUCAACCGGGGAGGGUCAUUGGAAACUGGGAAACUUGAGUGCAGAAGAGGAGAGUGGAAUUCCGCGUGUAGCGGUGAAAUGCGUAGAGAUGUGGAGGAACACCAGUGGCGAAGGCGACUCUCUGGUCUGUAACUGACGCUGAGGAGCGAAAGCGUGGGGAGCGAACAGGAUUAGAUACCCGCGUAGUCCCUGUCUCUUAUAC
rnacentral:rRNA from 1 species